rnacentral:rRNA from 1 species
GACGAACGCUGGCGGCGUGCUUAACACAUGCAAGUCGAACGGAAAGGCCCUGCUUUUGUGGGGUGCUCGAGUGGCGAACGGGUGAGUAACACGUGAGUAACCUGCCCUUGACUUUAGGAUAACUUCAGGAAACUGGGGCUAAUACCGGAUAGGAGCUCCUGCUGCAUGGUGGAGGUUGGAAAGUUUCGGCGGUUGGGGAUGGACUCGCGGCUUAUCAGCUUGUUGGUGGGGUAGUGGCUUACCAAGGCUUUGACGGGUAGCCGGCCUGAGAGGGUGACCGGCCACAUUGGGACUGAGAUACGGCCCAGACUCCUACGGGAGGCAGCAGUGGGGAAUAUUGCACAAUGGGCGGAAGCCUGAUGCAGCAACGCCGCGUGCGGGAUGACGGCCUUCGGGUUGUAAACCGCUUUCGCCUGUGACGAAGCGUGAGUGACGGUAAUGGGUAAAGAAGCACCGGCUAACUACGUG